rnacentral:rRNA from 1 species
AAUGAACGCUGGCGGUAGGCCUAACACAUGCAAGUCGAACGGCAGCACAGUAAGUUCUUGCUCUUACGGGGGGCGAGAGGCGGAAGUGUCAGGAGAACAUCGGAAUCUACUUUUUCGGAGGACAUCACGUAAGUGAACUUACGAUAAGACAGCAUACGACCUACGGUGGUAAGCAUGGGAUCUUCUGACCUGGCGCGGUUGAAUUCGCCGAUGUCGGAUUAGCUAGUUGGCGGGGUAAAGACCCACCAAGGCAACGAUCCGUAGCUGGUGUGAGUGGCUGGUCAGCCACACGGGAACUGGGACACGGUCCAGACGCCUACGGGACGCAGCAGUGGGGAAUAUUGGACAAUGGGCGCAAGUCUGAUCCAGCCAUACCGCGUGGGUGAAGAAGGCCUUCGGGUUGGAAAGCCCUUUUGUUGGGAAAGAAACGCAGCAGGUUAAUACCCCGCUGUUGUGACGGUACCCAAAGAAUAAGCACCGGCUAACUUCGUG